rnacentral:lncRNA from 1 species
UUUUGCUGAACAUCUAAUUUGGUGUUCACAUCUGCUACUAACUAGAUGUGUUUAAAAAUUAAAAUCAGUUUCAUAAAGUGUCGGAACAUGAAACAUACAGCAUAAUCAAUUCUUCAAAUUGUGUUUUAAAAUGCUAAAAAUAAAAAAGUAAGUACUAAUCUGUACUUUUUGUAUUUCUUUGUACUUUAGUUUUCUCAGCCUCAACUCCAAUUACACAUCCAGGUUUUCUCACUUCAUGGCAAUACUAAACUAUUUAUAACUCUUGUAAAUUUUUAUUUGGCUUUGUACCUCCUUUAAAUGCCAUUAUUUUUGUUUGCAUUUUCCCUUCUGUCUUCCUGGAAAACUCCUCAUGUACUUAGAUCCAGCUAAAAAAUUACUUAUUAUAGGAAAGCAUGCCUAAUCUCUUACUCCUGUUUUCCUGGAAUUUAAACAUCUCUUCUUUUAAACUUCUAUACAUCACAGGCAACUUCGAUCAUUGCACUGAAAACUUUGCAUUAUAAUUGUUUCCCUAGCUACUGCCUCUCCUGGAUCUUAAGCUCUUGGAAAAAAGGGGAUAUUGUUUAUUAUGAUAUCUCUGUGCCUAGCAGAGUACUUUGCCAAUAAUUGCUGCUUAAAAGAUGUGUACUACCAAUUCUCACUAAGAGCUUGCCUUGCAGAAAUGUGAACUUAAUAGGCCAUUGUCUAUAUCACGGGUCCCCAACCCUGGGGCUGCAGACUGGUACCAGUCCUUGGCCUAUUAGGGAUUGGGCCGCACAGCAGGGGGUGAGCGGCAGGUGAGUGAGAAUUGCGGCCUGAGCUCCACCUCUUGUCAGAUCAGUUGGAGGCAUUAGAUGCUCACAGGAGCAUGAACCCUAUUGUGAACUGUGCAUGCCAGGAAUCUAGGCUGUGCAUUCCUUAUGAGAAUUGAACUAAUGCCUGAUGAUCUGAGGUGUAACAGUUUCAUCCGAGAACUAUCGUGCUCCCUUCCUCCUUGUCCGUGGUGGAAAAAUUAUCUUCCUCGAAAUGGGUCCCUGGUGCCAAAAAGGUUGGGGACCGUUUUCCCAUCAUAGAUUCUAUGAUGUGACUUCAACAAUGCUUAGGAAAAUCCUUUUAUUCCAUACCAGCAGCCAAUCAAUAGUCC